rnacentral:lncRNA from 1 species
UCACACACAGCACUCAUCCAGAAGAGCCUGUCACCAAAGGAKUGAUGCACUUCACUCCUAAGAGGGAAGCAGCACUACAUUUAUUGCAGUAAGACAGCAACUUAACAAAGUUGACUAUUAAAUAAGAACAAUUUAAUGAGGUUCAAUUGGCAAGGUUCACUCAGUUAUUUACUGCAUGAAGGACAGGGUCGGAUGCAUGUGCAAUGGAGACCCUCCCGUUGAGUCACAAGGUUCAGACUGGACCCCCUUGCUUUMUAAACUCCUUCAGAGAGGAGCCUAGGUGCACCUGGAUCCAGUCCUACUCCCAGACUUGGUCAAUGGUUUAUGUCUAAAGGGGUGAGUGUGAAGGGAACCCUCCCAUUGAGUCACAAGGUUCAGACUGGACCCCCUUGCUUUCUAAACUCCUUCCAAGAGGAGCCUAGGUGCAGCUGAAUCCAGUCCUAGUCCCAGACUGGGUCAACGGUUUAUGUCUAAGGAAUUAUGUGUGCAAUUAGUCAGAGCUAUAACUCAGGAAAGUUUCACAAAGUUCACAAAAGUUCAGCAUGCUAUUAAUCACUUGCCAAGGAUCUGUCACAGGUAAGGAAUCUCUCUCAACCUCAAGGAGUAACCUUGAGAGGCAUUCCUGCUCAAGGGGAGGUUCUGCAGURCAGCCUGCUGACGUGCAGGAGAGCUCAAUGGGCUCUGGGCUGGCCUCUAUUUAUGGGGGGUAGAUGAUUGACUCUUGGUCAUAUUUGCAUACUAGACAGGCCUUAGUUGGCACAUGCUCAACUAGCCCCUACAUAUGUGCUGUUUACAGGGAGAUCAGGUUGAGGGGGAGAGAGCACAUUACUGGGGCAGUGGGGGAAGGAGCACACCGUCAGAGCCCUCCACACUACAUUCACUGUCAGCGCGCACACACACACACACGCACACACACAGAGUCAAGGCACACCAACACCCAGGGCCCCUCAACUUAGCUUCUGCGGUGCUCUGGGUCACCAUCCAUCCUCAAGAGGCAUCCUCAAUGGCAGUCACAUCCUCUCUAAUCUUCCUCCCAUCGCCUCAUUCACCAUCUGCGAAACCAGAGCACAAACAGUCACCCCCAGGCAAGUCAGCUCCAGCCUCAUCCACAAAAAUACCCUUCACAAAGUGCCAUGGGCACUCCACUCACCUUCAUCACACCAAUCCCAGACUCCAACAUGGUGCUUGGGGGGACACCUGCAGCACCUGGGAAAAAACAAAACAAAACAACAUUUCUCCUCUGCCAGGCAACACUCACCAACCCCACAACACCCAACACCAGUCAACAUUCCAGUCCAUCACUACUCUCCUCUGCACACUACCAUAG